ACGGUAGUAGCUCAGUGGCUAGAGCAUCUCUUUUAUAAUAGGUUCAUUUCGAGAAGGUCAUUGGUUCGAAUCCUUUCUACCGUA
rnacentral:tRNA from 1 species